GUGGCGUACGGCACCGCGGGGUACGGGCCGCUUGCGGUGCUGCUCACAGCGAGGUCCGCGCGGGGGCAGGCCGGGCUCAGCCCCGUACGCCGCGC
rnacentral:tRNA from 1 species